rnacentral:rRNA from 2 species
UUCCGGUUGAUCCUGCCGGACCUGACUGCUAUCGGAUUGAUACUAAGCCAUGCGAGUCAUUGUAGCAAUACAAGGCAUACGGCUCAGUAACGCGUAGUCAACCUACCCUAUGGACGGAAAUAACCUCGGGAAACUGAGAAUAAUAUCCGAUAGAACAUUAUGCCUGGAAUGGUUUAUGUUCCAAAUGAUUUAUCGCCGUAGGAUGGGACUGCGGCCUAUCAGUUUGUUGGUGAGGUAAUGGCCCACCAAGACUAUUACAGGUACGGGCUCUGAGAGGAGUAGCCCGGAGAUGGGUACUGAGACACGGACCCAGGCCCUAUGGGGCGCAGCAGGCGAGAAAACUUUGCAAUGUGCGAAAGCACGACAAGGUUAAUCCGAGUGAUUUCUGCUAAAGAAAUCUUUUGUUAGUCCUAGAAACACUAACGAAUAAGGGGUGGGCAAGUUCUGGUGUCAGCCGCCGCGGUAAAACCAGCACCUCAAGUGGUCAGGAUGAUUAUUGGGCCUAAAGCAUCCGUAGCCGGCUCUGUAAGUCCUCGGUUAAAUCUGUACGCUUAACGUACAGGCUGCCGGGAAUACUGCAUAGCUAGGGAGUGGGAGAGGUAGACGGUACUCGGUAGGAAGGGGUAAAAUCCUUUGAUCUAUUGAUGACCACCUGUGGCGAAGGCGGUCUACCAGAACACGUCCGACGGUGAGGGAUGAAAGCUGGGGGAGCAAACCGGAUUAGAUACCCGGGUAGUCCCAGCUGUAAACUAUGCAAACUCAGUGAUGCAUUGGCUUGUGGCCAAUGCAGUGCUGCAGGGAAGCCGUUAAGUUUGCCGCCUGGGAAGUACGUACGCAAGUAUGAAACUUAAAGGAAUUGGCGGGGGAGCACCACAA